rnacentral:rRNA from 1 species
UUGAAAGGGAAACGAUUGAAGUCAGUCGUGCUGGCGCGAAAUCAACCUUCUCGUCUUGAGAUCACAUGGCGUGGCGAGCCUCAAAACCGUCACGAAGCGUGAACUCUUGGUGAAAUGGAGCACUUUCGUGUCCGCUGGUUAACAUCAAUUUCGAACGUCAUAAAAAGGCUGGAGGGAUGUGGCUCCUUCGGGAGUGUUAUAACCUUUAGCGGAAUGUGGUGUUCGGGAUUGAGGAUUGCAACGGAUACCUUUAGGGCUGUUCCACCUGGCUUCUCUUUGGUAUCCUGGUGACGACAGCUUGCUGACGUCGUUAGGAUUCGCCUUUGAACAGGUUAGAGUGUGAGCAAAUUCGUUAAGGAUGUUGACGUA